GUGCUCGCUUCUGCAGCACAGAUACUAAAAUUGGAACGAUACAGAGUAGGUUAGCAUGGCCCCUGCGCAAGGAUGACACACAAAUUUGUGAAGCAUUCCAUAUUUUU
ensembl:snRNA U6 U6 spliceosomal RNA